UACGGAGGGUGCAAGCGUUAAUCGGAAUUACUGGGCGUAAAGCGUGCGCAGGCGGUGCUGUAAGACCGAUGUGAAAUCCCCCGGGCUUAACCUGGGAACUGCAUUGGUGACUGCAGCGCUGGAGUAUGGCAGAGGGGGGGUGGAAUUCCACGUGUAGCAGUGAAAUGCGUAGAGAUGUGGAGGAAUACCGAUGGCGAAGGCAGCCCCCUGGGAUAACACUGACGCUCAUGCACGAAAGCGUGGGGAGCAAACAGG
rnacentral:rRNA from 1 species